AUUGAACGCUGGCGGCAUGCUUUACACAUGCAAGUCGAACGGUAACAGGUUAAGCUGACGAGUGGCGAACGUGUGAGUAAUGCCUCGGAACGUGCCCGGUCCUGGCGGAUAACACUUCGAAAGAAGUGCUAAUACCGCAUCCCAUCUGCGGAUGAAAGCGGGGGACCGUACGGCCUCCCUCCAUCGUAGCGGCCGAUGUCAGAUUAGGUAGUUGGUGGGGGAAAGGGCCACCAAGCCGACGAGCUGUAGCUGGGCUGGGAGGACGACCAGCCACGCUGGGACUGAGACACGGCCCAGACUCCUACGGGAGGCAGCAGUGGGGAAUUUUGGACAAUGGGCGCAAGCCUGAUCCAGCAAUGCCGCGUGCAGGAAGAAGGCCUUCGGGUUGUAAACUGCUUUUGUACGGAGCGAAAAGGCUUUCUCUAAUACAGGGGGCUCAUGACGGUACCGUAAGAAUAAGCACCGGCUAACUACGUGCCAGCAGCAGCCGCCG
rnacentral:rRNA from 1 species